AAACGUGCGCACAGCUCCUUCGUCCAGCUCUUAUGGAACUUUCGGAAAAAGAGGCCGAAACAUGAUAUGCAGUCCCUUAAAUACAUUGAAAUGACGUAGGUAGAUUCUGGUAGUCCUGGUUUCUGGUAGGUUGCUUGUAGGUGAUAGACAGUCCCCUCCAGCCUGGUGUCCGUAUCCCGUUGGUUCUUGACAGAGUUCUUUGUCUUUGGAGCCCAUCCCGAAGGAGGUCGGGUGUUUGUGUUUUAGGAAUUUCAGUAUAUAUGUUCAGUAUAUGUGCUAUCUCAAUCAGCCACCCCUACAGGGUUGUACCAGUGCGAUUAGUAUCUACAGAAGAACAGGGGGAGGGUAGGGUUAUGACACAGUGUGCAAGCCACAAUUGCAUGGUUAGGCCACAGGCAGACAACAGUCAGUAAAUGCGUUAUUACAUGCGUUUAAUAUGUUUAUUACACUAGCUAUCUUGAUAUAUUUAACAUGGUAAAAUACAUCGGUAGGUAGCUAGCUAACAGCCAUGGAGGACGGUGAAAGGAUAGCAGGCCCAGCUGUGGGAGAGCAUGCUACUCUGGAUAGAGCAGAGAGAGCUGUGAAAGCCUGUUUGCAGAUGAAGUGUUGUCCCAAUGAAGAGCAGCGGUUCUCAGUCCUGGUCCUGGGGACUCAAAAGGCAUAACGUACUCUGUAGCUAAGUAGUGUGGACACCAGCUUAUAUCAGCUGUGUUGGUGAACCUCUCCUGCAUCUGAACUGGCUGACACCGAGGGCACAGCAUGAUCAUAGGUAUGUUUUAAUGUGAGAGAGGAAGCCAGUCCCGUCAUCGCCACCUCACCCGCUCUUAAGAUAACCUUCGGGCCGACUGGGGGCUCAAGGCUGGUUAGGAGACACCGCUAGAGACACUAUGUAAUUGUGAUGAACUGAGAGAAUAUUAGUGUAGCACUGUAAUUCAUUAAUUAACUGCGGUCUUCCCUGCUCCUCUGUUCUUAUCUAUUUGCCUUUGUCUUCUACACCUCUCUCCCCACCUCUUUGUUCCUCUUUUUUUAUAAUGCACAGCACAUGUGCAUUGAAGUACAGAUUGAACUUGUAUUUAUAAUAUUUAUAAUGCAAGUAUUAUGCAUUUAUAACACCUGGAUAAUGAACUUUCAAUAAAGUGUUUCACAUUC